GACCUGCAUUGAAUUCCCCACUCCACUAAUGGAUGGUAACCUUUGCCUUUCGGGGUAGUUUAGAAGAACAAUAAACAGACAAGCCACAAUUUGACUAAUGUCAUAGAGAGCCGGUCACAGCAAAAUCUGUAUUAUGCAUAGAGGGCCAGUUCAUCAGGAGGGCAACUCUUCUAAGUCUUCAGUGUGGAAACAAGAUGUGAACUGGACUGACUUCCUGUUUGAUGAAAACACCUGCAGACAUUUUAAGGAUAAUGCAUUGAGGUGCCGUUGUGAAGACUAGUUAUUUUGGAAGUUGGAUGAGGAGCAGUUAGUUGGAAAUUAUGCUGAUCUUACAAAUUGUUACAUCCAGUGAGGAAGUUCACUUUGCGUUAAAGUCAGUUUGUGUGGUAGUUGGAGACGAAAGCUGUGGGUUUGCUUUGGGAUUAAAUGAAAAGUAAAGCACAUCUUUUUAUAGAUGAAUAAAUGAAGUAAGAAAUUACAAUGGAACAAUGUUUUUUUUUGUAAU